UACGUAGGGCGCAAGCGUUGUCCGGAAUUAUUGGGCGUAAAGAGCUCGUAGGCGGUUUGUCGCGUCUGCUGUGAAAACUCGAGGCUCAACCUCGGGCUUGCAGUGGGUACGGGCAGACUGGAGUGCGGUAGGGGAGAAUGGAAUUCCUGGUGUAGCGGUGGAAUGCGCAGAUAUCAGGAGGAACACCGAUGGCGAAGGCAGUUCUCUGGGCCGUAACUGACGCUGAGGAGCGAAAGCGUGGGGAGCGAACAGG
rnacentral:rRNA from 1 species